rnacentral:sRNA from 1 species
CACACACACACACACACACACACACACACAGAGCAAGGCAAAUGACAAAACCGUCAAGAAGUAUUGUGUGGUAUCAUGCACCUAUGACAAAAGCCAUGUAGUAUAUUUCAGUUUUUAAAAUUUCAGAAAUGCUGGUUUCAUAUUUGUGCCAUGUCAACAAGGAAUGUUCCCUCAGGGAAAUGAGGCUCCUCAAGUUUCUAUUUCCCUGUGUGUGCCCAAAUGUGUGUGGGCACCUGUACAUGUUUAUACUUGUAUAUGUGGAGGCCUGCAGACAACCUUGGGCCUUGCUUCUUGGGAGCCAGUUACUUGGUUUUGUUUUUUUGAGACAAGGUCUCUCACUGGAGCUCAUUAAUUACGCUAGUGUGGGUGGCCAGCAAACCCCAGGGAUCUGCCUUGCUCUGCUUCCACAGGGCUGGGAUUAUAAGUGCACGGCUACCAUGCUGGCCUUUUUACAUUGGUUCUGGGGAAUGAAACUCAAGUCCCAGGUUUGCAUGUCAAGCAGUUUACUAUGUCUCACAAAUUUCCAUUUCUAAAGAAAAAAAAAGAAAGAAUAGCAAGCAGUUCCUCACACAGCACACCUGGCGCUUCUCUAACUACGUCACCUAGUGCUAGGGAACAGCUCAGUACCUGUACAGCAGGGACAGUGGCCUGGGUUUGACCAUCAGCACCACAGGAAGCAAACGUCACUUGUGUUAACCGACUAAAAUUUUUAUGGUGCUCUUAUUUUCCCAACAAAGAAACUCAGGACUUUGCAUGAUUUACCAGUGCCUCACUCCUACUUUGUGAAGGAGGUACGGCUUGGUCAGUUCAGUCUCUCAGUUCCUUCAUAAUGUUUCUCCAGCUCUCAUGCCGUAUUCAAAGCCAUCUGGAGUUUUCUGGAUCAAUGUAUCCUUUCUCUUAGAGCACCACCUACUCUGGGCCGAGGUGACACAGAUCUCUUCUUCUGGGAUCAGUUUGUGAAUGGAAAGAGAAGUAAAGAAAAGACCGAGUCUAAAGUCCGAAAACGAAAGGGACAGAAAACCUAGAUGUGGAGGUUCACACCUAUAAUCCCAGCACUUGUAAGGCAAGGACUCUGGGAGUGGGGGACUAGCUUCAGCUUCACACUGAAAGCCUGGCCCAUGGUGUGAGAUCCUCUCUGUAAGAAUAAAACAUAAGCAAACAACGGAAAACCUGACAAGAUCUUGAGGAUCUUAUGGUCUACAGAGGAAAGGAAAUUGGAUUCUCCUAAGUGUGAGCCCACAGUGUGGCCAAGCUCACGUUGUAUGUUCAAGCUUACACUAUUCGGUGAGAGAGGGAAGGUCUCUGCCUUGAGAAACGACUUUCAGACAGCCCCCCUCCCGCCCCCAGCCCACUUAUUUAUAUCUCCGAGGUUUCUAUUUGCUGGCAAAGCCCCACACCACAUCAUGAGGUCUGUCACAGUGUUCAAUUAGAGAGAAGCUAAUUCUAAGUCAUUAAAACUGCUGCCCAGGAUUACAGGGAUUCACGCAAUGACAGAGUGCACAGGCAAGAGCCCGUGCGUACUCCUGCCAGGAGGCCUCAUCCAACUGGAAAUGGAGAACCGAAAUCUCUCAUUCUAGAUUUUACGAGAGGUGCAGAUAAGGAGUCUAGGUGGUUAAACAACUUCGAAAUCCACACACUUUGAGUACACUGAAAGAAACACACUUCCUGGGAACCAAGCCCAUGUGACUAAUUACAGCCAGGGACUGGCACCUUCUAUUUAGCAAUCGCUUUCUUUUAGCUCUCCUGUGGGGAGGGGGGAGAGCUCAACUUUCAAGGAAAACACAGCUAUUCAAUCUCUGCCCAUUAUCCAACACGAGGACAAUCUGGGGAGCUUUCUUAUAUUUUACUAGUUAUCAGAGCUCCCCCAACCCUUCCCUCAAAGAGAGGUCAAGGUCCUAUGUGGGAGGAGAAGCAAGGAGCUGAAGGUAAGGUACAGGUCACCCUUAUUCCAAGGACACACAAACAGCAAAAUAAUCUAUCAAGGUUAAAAAAAUAGGCAGAGGCUCGAGUGUGAGUUUUUAAGAAGGCUCAUAUUUUGAUACCUUGAGCAAGUGAGUUAUUCAUUUAACUGAAUAAGUUAGAACCCUGGUCUAAAAAUAGCCGCACAAUUAACAAUGUACUAUAUAAUUAAAAUCUGUAUAUCAUUAAAUUAUGCGGACGUUAACUUCACUAUGAAUUCUUUAUGUAAUGAGACAGUUAAAAGAUACAUCUCUUCGGUUGUAAUUAAUCUUUCAGCUAGCUCAGCAAGCACAAUGGCAGAGGGUCCUGUGCCAAAGUGAGGGAGACAGGGGUUUACAAGGAGUCCUGGGGCAGGCUCUCAGGGGCUUGUGGAAACAAAGUGUGUUUGGGAAGAAGCACAAUUAGUCUCUGAAGGAAAGUUACCAGUGAGCUCAUUCUGUAUGCAUCACCCCUGGAUGCCCCAAAUGACAGACCAGGUCUGGAAACCACUCCUAUUGAAAACAUAGGACACAUAUUCUACAUUGUUGGAAACUCUCUUUGG